CACUCCUGCGGGAGGCAGCAGUGGGGAAUUUUGGACAAUGGGGGCAACCCUGAUCCAGCAAUGCCGCGUGAGUGAAGAAGGCCUUCGGGUUGUAAAGCUCUUUUGUCAGGGAAGAAACGGUGGUGGCGAAUAACUACUACUAAUGACGGUACCUGAAGAAUAAGCACCGGCUAACUACGUGCCAGCAGCCGCGGUAAUACGUAGGGUGCAAGCGUUAAUCGGAAUUACUGGGCGUAAAGCGUGCGCAGGCGGUUGUGUAAGUCAGAUGUGAAAUCCCCGGGCUCAACCUGGGAAUUGCAUUUGAGACUGCACGGCUAGAGUGUGUCAGAGGGGGGUAGAAUUCCACGUGUAGCAGUGAAAUGCGUAGAUAUGUGGAGGAAUACCGAUGGCGAAGGCAGCCCCCUGGGAUAACACUGACGCUCAUGCACGAAAGCGUGGGGAGCAAACAGGAUUAGAAACCCUUGUAGGCCCA
rnacentral:rRNA from 1 species